ensembl:lncRNA
UUUUAUAAGGGCUGAUCUGAAAGUAAUUCUCCUGUUUUAUGAUGUUGGCCCAGGAUAUCAGAGGCAGAUGUUGGUGGUAUGGCAGUAGAGGUUGAACCUUCCCACCAGUAUUUCGUUACAUUUAUUAUUGUGUGACAGAUGACAGCAGAGGGGCAGAAUGGUGUCUGACAUGGAACUCCUGAUGAAGCAAGGGUGUGUCCUUGAAUUCCUCCACGUCGAAAAAAUGGCACCGUUGACAUUCAUUGACACUUGCUGAAUGUUUGUGGAGACCAAUCAGUAGAGUGGCCUGGAGAAGGAUAUGAGCACUACUUUAUAUUGGCAGUGGCAGGCAGAACUCAGUAUGCAAAGUACAAUGACGUUUUGUGAGUGGAGGUGAUCUGAAAAGUCACAGUUUAAUCAUGUGUUAUCAAAAUUGAAGUAUAUGCAUGGACCUAUUCUAAGAACUAAAUUAAAAUACUGUCUAAAAUCUGAUAUGUUUUCACUGCAGAGAAUGGAAGAUUUUUCGUUUUCUCCGAUUGCAUUUUUAUUUCCCAAGAAAAUUGUUACAGAACUUGCUGUCUUCUUGCAGAGGUGACACUGUGCUUCAGAAUACAGCAGGGAAUACUACUGCAUACUACUGUGGGUGUCUUUUUUAUUGAACUAGUGUGCAAGUUGAGAGCCAGCUUCACAGACUUGUCAUUGAACAUUGUGGUGCAUAUUGUUGUUCCCAGGUUGUCUAGAGGACAUUAUUGAAUAGAUCUGGAAAAUAAAUAAAUAACCCCCAACUGUGUUCAGAAGGUGUGUGUUAUGUGUGAUAAAUCAUAAACACCCUCCCUUCUUCUUGGCAGAAAAGCACCUUUGAUGUACACUAUCUACAUUAUCAGUACAUUUGCAUUCUGACGUAGUCCUCUUCAAAACAAAAUGUUCUUUAAAGUGCUUUUCCAAAACUGACCUUCACUCUUGAAACAUCUCAGGGAAGCUAUCCUAUUGUAUUAGAAAUGUAAUAUUUAUCUUUAAUAUUUAAUUCCUGAGACUUUUCACCUCUUCUUUCUUCAUUUAUUUAUUUUUCCUUCCAGUUACAUGAUGAUGUAUUGCUGGAGAGAAGUACCCUUUUCCAGUUGAAGUGAAAGUAUGCAACACAUAUUUUCCAGUAAUCUAAUAAACCUUUCAUAUAGAAAAUAAAUCCUGAAUUUGUUUUGUAGAUGUUCAGAACAGCCGUGCCCAUUGCAAACUGUUCCAAUGCCAUAAUACGUAGAGUCACGGUCACUUUCUUCAGUUUGCAUGGCCUUCAAAAAAAUAAAUAAAUAAAAUAAAUAAAAAAUAAAAAAAUUCCAGUGGUCCGCUCUCAGAAACUGAGGACAAUUGUUCUAGAGAGCAGUUUUAUGUAAGACAGCUUACCAAUGAAAAUGUGAAAUUCCUAGUGUUUGUUGUGAAAGUUAG